rnacentral:rRNA from 1 species
UACGUAGGGGGCUAGCGUUGUCCGGAAUCAUUGGGCGUAAAGAGCGUGUAGGCGGUCCGGUAAGUCCGUUGUGAAAGUCAAAGGCUCAACCUUUGAAAGCCGGUGGAUACUGCAGGGCUAGAGUCCGGAAGAGGCGAGUGGAAUUCCUGGUGUAGCGGUGGAAUGCGCAGAUAUCAGGAGGAACACCAAUAGCGAAGGCAGCUCGCUGGGACGGUACUGACGCUAAGGCGCGAAAGCGUGGGGAGCGAACAGG